rnacentral:snRNA from 1 species
AUGUCAAAGUGAAGAAAUUCAAC